CAGCGAACAAAAUCAGGCGAACAAGGCUCCCUCGCACGUAUCGAAAAAAAUCGGACGAGGACCCCAACCCCCGACCUACCUCUCCCAACUCGCCCUCCCUCCCAGCACCGCCGUUCCUACGAUCAGCCGGCCACCGCAACCUCCCUCCCAGCUGGCUGCCAUGGCACCACCACCUCCUCCCCCCGCAGCCUUGUACAUCGGGAGGCGACCACGCGCCAGGCCUAGGUGGGUCUCGGCCUCCCUCCCCGCUUUGUCCAAGGCUAGGAUCUCCCCUCCCCGACCGAUCUGACGGAUCAAGGCGGUGGCGACGGUCGCACCGCUUCCCUGCAAGUCGAGUAAACCUGCCCCCUCCCCUGCAUCGACGACGCCUGCAGACCCACCCUCCGCUCACUCUCACACCGGGUUCUCCACGUGCAUGUCCUUCUCUGAGGCGACCCUCAUCUCUCUCUGCCUCCAUGAGGAGAACCGCCCUGGCUUGCCCCCUGACCGUCGAUUUCCAGAUCAAGGUCUCCGUAGUAGGAACAAGGUUUCUUGUCAUCGGAUCCAUGAAGAUUUGACGCCUUCCUUGCGCUGGUGCUGGUUCAUCGGCCAGAUCCCAUCAGAGAGGAGGAGGUUCAUGGCGGAGGGAUGCACGGAGGAGAGGGACGACCUUGCAGGCACCACGUCAUGCGACUGGUCCUUGUUACGCCAUGGCCAACGACACCGACGACAUGUGCAAGGCCACCAGCGCAAAAAGCGGCGCCCAAGGACUGACACCUCGCCACGAUAUUCGGUGCCCAGUCGCACAUCAAAGUCGGCAAAUUUGACAAUCCAGUCAAUGCACUGAUGGAUGGAUCAUGCAGGUUGCUCUGCAGGUUGGUCUAAAGACACUGGUAGAAUUGCACCUGCAAGCUCUGAACAUUCAUGUCAUCAGCUGUGCUUGGUCGAUGUGGACUAUUCUUUCCUCAACACAAGAAAAAUUCAAUUGUCUUCGUGGGAAAUUAAUUGCACAAUUAUUUCAGACAAGUAUGGGUGGAGUAUUAUCUUCUACAGAUCAGGUGGCAAUGGUACUCCCAACGAAUCAGCAGAAGAUUACACCAUGAGGAUGCCGCAUAAUCAACUGCAAAAUAUGCAUGCACACAGAAUUCAGCAAGCCAACCUACAAUAAUUCUCCAUGUUGCAAAGGUCCCGUUGAGGCCUCACGCCAAGUGGAAGAGUGGGACGAGGACACUUGGCAAGGAUGCGGUAGCUCAUGGUUAACCGUGCACAUUGUUGGCCAGGAGUGUGUUAAUUUUUUGGGCUUGAAAUUAACUACUUAACCAGGGACGUGAUGUAUUUACUAAUGUGGAUUUCUAUUGUUCAUUUGCAGCGGUAUUAGGCUGAAUGGGGAAUCUAUUGUGCAUCUAAUUUGUAGAACUGGGGGCAUAGCAAUUUUGGCUCAUCCGUAGACAAUGCAACAAUCAUUUAAUGCCACAAAAGAUAUGAAAGGAAGGAGGUCAAUGGAGCAAAAGGCACAAGAAGGAAGACGCAUCACCACAGGGAUGAUGUUGUCGGCAGCGCCUUUGGAAGGAUUCACUCUAGAGAAGUUACGGUAGUCGGCCAUCAUGCUGGGGAAGCAGGGAGGAUGCCGUUCAGAACGCCUGGGUCUAGAGGAGUGUGUCCAGGUGGAUAGGUGGUGGCCGAGGAUGGCCAUGAGCAGUUGGGUUGGGCAAAUGUCAACGCGAUGGCGUCGUUGCUCAAGGUACCAACUCCUUGUUUUGACCCAACGUUUCUUGGCUAGCUGUACAUGGUCGGGACUGUUUCGUGCAUCUAAGCGACGGCUCAUGCCAUCCACUUCCAAAGCAAUAAGCAAAAUAUUUCAAAAGCCCGUGACAGCGCACGUCCAUCUCUCAAAAGUGAUCAUGUGCCGCGAAGCCUCCUCGUAGUGACGGGAGUCAUGCGGAAGUCCACAUCCGAUCUUUUUCCUGCUUUGGUGUGAUUAGAUUUAGUCUAUCGUUAGAUCAGCAUGAGAGUCAAUGGCAGCACCGAGGUUGAUGGGGUCGCAGAAGCCAUGGCUGCAGCCCCCACCACCAACUCCCUCACCUGUGGAAAGCCACGUGCGUAGCAGAAGUAAAGCACCAUGCACGGCUGGUUGGAGACCAUACCCUUGCUGCUUUCUGAGAUCUCUCUGAACUUCUCUGAAUUUCACCGGCAGUUGCGCGCAUGUAGGAGUGCAAGCGGCCCCACCUCUCUCUGAACCUAUCUGAUUUGUGUUACUGUUGGAUGGUAAACUAAUGAUGUUAAAGUGUCAAGAAAUCAUUGUUACCACUGA